rnacentral:rRNA from 1 species
UACAGAGGUCCCGAGCGUUGUUCGGAUUCACUGGGCGUAAAGGGUGCGUAGGUGGUGAGGUAAGUCGGGUGUGAAAUCUCGGAGCUUAACUCCGAAACUGCAUUCGAUACUGCCGUGCUUGAGGACUGGAGAGGAGACUGGAAUUUACGGUGUAGCGGUGAAAUGCGUAGAUAUCGUAAGGAAGACCAGUGGCGAAGGCGGGUCUCUGGACAGUUCCUGACGCUGAGGCACGAAGGCCAGGGGGAGCAAAACGGG